rnacentral:rRNA from 1 species
UGGGGAAUUUUGGACAAUGGGGGAAACCCUGAUCCAGCCAUCCCGCGUGUGCGAUGAAGGCCUUCGGGUUGUAAAGCACUUUUGGCAGGAAAGAAACGUCGCGGGUUAAUACCCCGCGGAACUGACGGUACCUGCAGAAUAAGCACCGGCUAACUACGUGCCAGCAGCCGCGGUAAUACGUAGGGUGCAAGCGUUAAUCGGAAUUACUGGGCGUAAAGCGUGCGCAGGCGGUUCGGAAAGAAAGAUGUGAAAUCCCAGAGCUUAACUUUGGAACUGCAUUUUUAACUACCGGGCUAGAGUGUGUCAGAGGGAGGUGGAAUUCCGCGUGUAGCAGUGAAAUGCGUAGAUAUGCGGAGGAACACCGAUGGCGAAGGCAGCCUCCUGGGAUAACACUGACGCUCAUGCACGAAAGCGUGGGGAGCAAACAGGAUUAGAUACCCUGGUAGUCCACGCCCUAAACGAUGUCAACUAGCUGUUGGGGUCUUCGGACCUUGGUAGCGCAGCUAACGCGUGAAGUUGACCGCCUGGGGAGUACGGUCGCAAGAUUAAAACUUAAAGGAAUUGACGGGGGUGC